rnacentral:rRNA from 1 species
AUUGAACGCUGGCGGCAUGCUUUACACAUGCAAGUCGAGCGGCAGCGCGGGGUUCAGGCAACUGAGCCCUGGCGGCGAGCGGCGAACGGGUGAGUAAUACAUCGGAACGUACCCAGGAGUGGGGGAUAGCCCGGCGAAAGCCGGAUUAAUACCGCAUACGAUCUGUGGAUGAAAGUGGGGGACCUAAGGGCAACUGAGGGCCUCACGCUUUUGGAGCGGCCGAUGUCCGAUUAGCUAGUUGGUGGGGUAAAGGCCUACCAAGGCGACGAUCGGUAGCUGGUCUGAGAGGAUGAUCAGCCACACUGGGACUGAGACACGGCCCAGACUCCUACGGGAGGCAGCAGUGGGGAAUUUUGGACAAUGGGGCAACCCUGAUCCAGCCAUGCCGCGUGCGGGAAGAAGGCCU